AUAAAAAUGAAAGUUUUACUAAAAAUUAUUUUUUUGUUUUAGAUGAUACCAAUUAAAUUUUCAGAUCAAGAAUUAAAGCAAAUACAGAGGUUGCUGGAGGUGCAUUGUAAUGGAGGGCCGCUCUCCUCAGGGUUCCGACGGCGAGCCAAUGUCACCUUGCUGUGCCCAGGGGUAGGGCGUUCUCUGUGGGUGCUCCCACCCUCUGGAAUGAAUUACCUACUGAGCUCCGGACGAUUCCUGAUCUCCGCUCCUUCCGUCGGGACUUGAAGACUUGGCUUUUCAAACAAAUAGGCUGAGACUGAUUCCGGGCUUUAUUAUUUACUACUAAUUAAUUAUUUGGAUUAAAUUAUUGAUUAUGUGA